UACGUAGGGGGCGAGCGUUGUCCGGAAUCAUUGGGCGUAAAGCGCGUGUAGGCGGCCCGGUAAGUCCGCUGUGAAAGUCCAGGGCUCAACCCUGGGAUGCCGGUGGAUACUGUCGGGCUAGAGUCCGGAAGAGGAGUGUGGAAUUCCUGGUGUAGCGGUGAAAUGCGCAGAUAUCAGGAAGAACACCCGUGGCUAAGGCGGCUCUCUAGUACGGUACUGACGCUGAGACGCGAAAGCGUGGGGAGCGAACAGG
rnacentral:rRNA from 1 species